CUCCUGCCUGAGGCAGAAAAAUUGGAUCAACUGGGCAGUGUGCUCCCGAAUUUGGGACUCCAGACAUUGUUCGUGGGAAAGCCUGAGGGAAGAGGGACCAGCUCCAGGCAAACCACAGAGCCUGGGCUGGAGAGAAAGAUGAUGCCAUGUUGCAGUGCAGGGGUGAUCUCAGGGGCCGGGGUCCCAUCGGCUCCACACACCAGCCGCCUUUUCCAGGUCCUCAAAGCCAAUGGUGUGCCCCAUUCUUCCACUGAACCAGCAUCGCAUGGCGGUCAUGAGUUAAGGCUUGGGAACCCACAGAUGCCACUUCAUGGCCGAGAAGCCCCUGAACCUGACCUUCCUGACUCCCA